AUAUAUAUAUAUAUUUCCCCCUUUCCUUUUGUCACUAAGAAGCUCAGACCCAAUUGUGAAGUCCAAAUAUAACUACUAUGCAACACCGUAUUAAAGAGCCACUAGGUUCCCCUCACACUUCCCCAGUCCUCAUUUUUCAUUUGUGUUUUACUAUUUUAUUGAAUAAGUAUCUUUGAAUUGCUUCCAGAUAAAAUGAAGGAAACAUAAAAAAAUUUUCAAUUCCCUGCCUCCAGGCUGUCUUCAUGUUGUUACCCAACUUAAAAUGCCCAGUUCUCUUUCCCUUUGUCAGAGUUUUACCCCUCCUAAGAAAGCCAACUUAGGCUCCACUCCUGCUUUCUCUGCCUGCAACAUGGGGUCACUCAUUCUUUGGUUUCUCUUGCUUUUUAGUUAUGUGAGUUAGUCUCUCUAAAAAUAUCCAAAAACAGCAAAUUGGAUCCUCUUCCUCCUCUUUCCACAUACACCCUUGACAGCACCUAACAUGUGGCUGGACACCCUGGAGGAUUUCCAACAUCCAACCAAUAAAAAUAACUAAGGGAGAUUUCAUCCCCCAAAUAUUAGGCCCUGCAGUUGUGUGUGUCUCUUUUAAAUGAAUAUAAACUUCCUUCUAUCAGCUGAGAAUUUUUUGCACCCCUGCCCAAUGCCUAGCCCAAGAGGGGAGAAGACAGGGAGAGAGGAAUGUGGGGGCAGAGGUGUGAGAGGUUUCCAGAGAGCCUGCUGCAGAGAAAGGUCAGCAUCAAUGGUGUUGUGUUAAUGAGUUCAACUGGAACCAGGAGACAGAAUAAUUCAAAGUUUCUGACUGAUGGAGUUUGGAAAACAGCAUUUUCUCAAGAAACUUCACCAGAAGAGACCAUCACAAGGCAGGUGGGAAGGGGUCAGCUCCCUUGGCUUUCACAACUCUGUUCAUCUUCAAUUUGCACCUCUUUCUUUCCCAGCAUUCCCUAUUCUCUCCAGGAACCCAAAGGGGUGGUCAUUCUAUCAUCAGAGUCAACACUCAAGAAAUGGGCCUCCUGUUGACAACUUUCUCUACAUUACUCACACUGGAAAAGACUCUAGUUGGAGAAGGGGCUCAAGGGAGCAUCCUCGCACUGCAGCCUGGAGGUAAGAGAAUGGAAAUGUUCAGGAAGUAGGCAUAGAGCCAGUUCAAGUCUCGCUGCUGCCUCCUGUACACCAGCCAACGCUGGCAAUGCCAGGAAACAAAGAAGGAUCAAGGACCUACUUACAAAUCAAACUUCUGCCCAGCUCCCUGCAAUGUGCUGCCUCUGUAAAUGGAACAUCACUCCUGGACUCAUGUGGGAUUUAACCAAGUUACAACUUCUCUAAGCCUCCGUUCUCCCAAUUGUGAAAAAUGGGAAUGACAUAGCGCCUACCACUGUCAGUUAUUGUGAGAAGUACAUGAGGGUACAAAUGGGUAACACUGGGCACUGUGCUGAAGCAGUGAGUGUACAUGUGAAUUUCAGUAUUGCAGUUAUCAGAGAAACAACGGCUCCAGCCAGAGUCCCAGGGAAGUGAAAUAAGGGGUAUGUCAUUCAUCCAUUCAGUCAUAAA